GACGAACGCUGGCGGCGUGCUUAACACAUGCAAGUCGAACGGAAAGGCCCUGCUUUUGUGGGGUGCUCGAGUGGCGAACGGGUGAGUAACACGUGAGUAACCUGCCCUUGACUUUGGGAUAACUUCAGGAAACUGGGGCUAAUACCGGAUAGGAGCUCCUGCUGCAUGGUGGGGGUUGGAAAGUUUCGGCGGUUGGGGAUGGACUCGCGGCUUAUCAGCUUGUUGGUGGGGUAGUGGCUUACCAAGGCUUUGACGGGUAGCCGGCCUGAGAGGGUGACCGGCCACAUUGGGACUGAGAUACGGCCCAGACUCGUACGGGAGGCAGCAGUGGGGAGUAUUGCAGAAUGGGCGGGAGCCUGAUGCAGCAACGCCGCGUGCGGGAUGACGGCCUUCGGGUUGUAAACCGCUUUCGCAUGUGACGAAGCGUGAGUGACGGUAAUGGGUAAAGAAGCACCGGCUAACUACGUG
rnacentral:rRNA from 1 species